rnacentral:rRNA from 1 species
GAUGAACGCUGGCGGCGUGCCUAAUACAUGCAAGUCGAGCGAACAGACGAGGAGCUUGCUCCUCUGACGUUAGCGGCGGACGGGUGAGUAACACGUGGAUAACCUACCUAUAAGACUGGGAUAACUUCGGGAAACCGGAGCUAAUACCGGAUAAUAUAUUGAACCGCAUGGUUCAAUAGUUAAAGACGGUUUUGCUGUCACUUAUAGAUGGAUCCGCGCCGCAUUAGCUAGUUGGUAAGGUAACGGCUUACCAAGGCAACGAUGCGUAGCCGACCUGAAAGGGUGAUCGGCCACACUGGAACUGAGACACGGUCCAGACUCCUACGGGAGGCAGCAGUAGGGAAUCUUCCGCAAUGGGCGAAAGCCUGACGGAGCAACGCCGCGUGAGUGAUGAAGGUCUUCGGAUCGUAAAACUCUGUUAUUAGGGAAGAACAAAUGUGUAAGUAACUAUGCACGUCUUGACGGUACCUAAUCAGAAAGCCACGGCUAACUACGUG